CUACAGCCACGGCUGUCCCGCUUUAGUUGCGUCUGGUCGUCUGGACACAGUAAGCGACCAGAUUGAUCCAGUUAUUUCAAAUCCAAACGAAAUGCGGAAUAAGGAGAAAAUAAACAUACUUACUAUAGAACAAUACCAAGACAUCUAUACCACUUCAACUCUCAACUCUCAAGUAUUUCACCUGAUGAACAUAGCCUAUCAAAGUAUUGCGAUGAAAAAAUUGUAGACGAAAUAUCAAAAAUAAACCUUGUAGAUGUGCUUGAAAAGUUGUAGAUACAUGACUCACUAUAAUUAAUGAUUCAUUAUUGGAAGUUACUUAAUUACGAGUUUCCCCGUG